rnacentral:lncRNA from 1 species
AGUUUAUGAUACCCAACCUAAGAAUGGAAAGAAUAAUGGAAAAAACUACCAUUAUAGGUUCUUUUCAAGAGUUGGACACAUUACCGAAAAAUUGGGGAAGAAGGGAAAGCAAAACUUACUGUAACUAAGGAUUAGAGCAACAUCGAAGAAACAUUUGAGACAAAAGUGAGAUCCAAAAACGAUGAUCCAGAUUUCAUGAAGAGCAAAAGCCAGCGAUAGAACAAAUCUAGAGCAGACGGUAG